CCUACUCAUUUUACAGAAGGAGAAAGUGAAGAGAAGAGAGGGAGAAGGGCCCUGACCGAGGCCACCAGCUUUCUUUGAUUCUGUGUUGAAAGGUGCGAGGUGCUGGAGCCGGGAAGAGGUGCGUUCUUGCUCUCGACAGGAAGUGUCAUUGGCUCUGCAGCAAGUGCCUCUAGGGACAAGGAACUCACUACCUCCUAGAGUGACACAUGCCCAUUCUUUGAACAAGUGUGACUGCCGGGAAAAAGGUGUACUGCGUACAGCUGUCAAGAAUGCAAAUGCCACUGAGUGUUGGGGGCAUGGCUCCGGAGCCAUCAACCUGGCCAGUCUUCACAGCCUACCCCAGUGGCAGACCCCCUGAAUCCACCCCAGGGCCCCAGUAAGCCCCCGUGAACCUGUGAACUUUGCAUUUCUAUGCUCAACACUCAGGGUGAGCAGUCCAGAAAAAACAACCCAUGCACAGCAGGUGCUGGGGGUAGUCAGGCUUCAAGAUGCCUCCAAAUGGUUCUCAUCUCUGAGUAUUCACACUGAAUGGAACUGACCUAUGUAACUAACAGGAUGUCGUGGGAAUGACAGGCAUGACUUCCAUGGCUAGGUCAUAAAGAGAUUGUGGCUUCUACCUUGCUCUCUCUUGGACCCCAGUUGCUGGAGGAAGCCAUCUGCCAUGUCAAACAGCCUAUGGAGAUGCCCAUGUGGGGAAGAAUGGAGGUCCCCUGCCAACAAUCAGCUUUGACAUGCCAAGCCUGUGAGGGAGCCAUCUGGAAAGGGAGUCUUCCAGCCCCAAUCAGGCCUUCAGAUGACUGCAGCCCUGGCCAGCUCCUUGACUGCAACCUCAUGACAGACCUUGAGCAAGAACUGCUCAGCUAAGCUGCUUCUGAAUUCUUAACCUACAGAAAUGUCUAAUGCUUUAAGAAGCAAAGUAUGGGGUAAUUUACCACAUGCAAUAGAUAACAAAACCAUGUGCAAUAAAUACUGGUUAAACAAGUGAAUG
rnacentral:lncRNA from 1 species